UACGGAGGGUGCAAGCGUUAUCCGGAUUUAUUGGGUUUAAAGGGUGCGUAGGCGGUUUGAUAAGUCAGCGGUGAAAUAUUUCAGCUUAACUGGAAGGGUGCUGUUGAUACUGUCGAGCUUGAAUUUAGUUGCUGUGGGUGGAAUGUGUGGUGUAGCGGUGAAAUGCAUAGAUAUCACACAGAAUAUCGAUUGCGAAGGCAGCUCACAAAGCUAAUAUUGACGCUGAUGCACGAAAGUGUGGGGAUCAAACAGG
rnacentral:rRNA from 1 species